UUCCCAAACUCCGGCCAACAUUGGCUUCUCUGACGUUGUUCUUGUGCUGAUUUGUGGGUAUGGACGUCUCCCUGCCGAGCUGGGUGUUCCCUCCCUCCUGGUGGCCUGGCGCCUUCCCUGGACACUGGCUCCAUGGGGGUCACGCGAGGGUGCAGGCUAAGGCUUUGGUCUUUAGUAAAAAUGAAAAUUAUGCUGUGUUUCGCUUUUGGAACGAGCGGACCCAUCUGGGAAGAGAGAACCGGGGCCACUCCCUCGCCUGUUAAAGUUCUUCUGUGAAUUUCAGUGACCCUACUACAUGUACUCUGUGGUGUGCAACUGUGUGGGUUGUGACAGAGGUGUCCAGUUGUCUGCCUGCCACCGUCCCCGAGAUCCAGAUCCGUCAAGCCACUGUCCCCUCUCUCCUGCCCUUGCUGGCCAGACCGUCCCGCCCCCGUAACCCCUGGCAACCGCUGAAGUGUCCGCAGCUCAGCAUUUUCCAGAAGGUGUCAUCAGUGGAGUCCUACAGCACCUAGCCUCGGAGUCCGGCUGCCGUCACUUCUGAGGGCUUCUGAGAUAGGUCAUGAGCGUUGUUUUGCUGAACCUCGCUCCGCCAAGGACACCCUUUGCCCAGUUGAGGGACGUCUGGAUCAGUUCCAGUUUUUGGCAGUGGCAAAGCUGCUGUAGGCGUGCAUUUGUCUUACAGAUCUCUGCGUGAGUGUAGAUUUGUCUUUACCUUGAACGAGGGUCUGGGUCGUAUGGUAAGUGCACGCUUGACUUGGUAACAAACUGCCCAGCUGCGCGGUCUUCGUUCCAGCCGGCUGUGGUUCCUGGCCCUGAGAUUGGCAGCACUCGAUACUGUCAGCUCUCAAAAAUUUGAGCCAUUCCGAUGGGUCUGUGGGGCCCUUCCCCAUUUCCUCAUGACCGAUGACACCGGGCGUCUUUGCACGCACUCACUUGCCAUUGGCACGUCUCUUUGGUGAAGUGCCUGCUCGUGUCUUCUGCCCGUGUUUCUUUCUUUUUUUUUUUUUUUAAAGAUUUUAUUUAUUUAUUUUGACAGAGAUAGAGACAGCCAGCGAGAGAGGGAACACAAGCAGGGGGAGUGGGAGAGGAAGAAGCAGGCUCAUAGCAGAGGAGCCUGAUGUGGGGGCUCGAUCCCAUAACGCCGGGAUCACGCCCUGAGCCGAAGGCAGACGCUCAACCGCUGUGCCACCCAGGCGCCCCUCUGCCCAUGUUUCUUACUGGGCCCUUCCCUUACUGUGGGGCUUGGAAGUGCUUUGUGUAUUCAGCUCGUACCCUCACGUACGCAGACAUGAGUCCUGUGUCAGUUCCUGCUCCGCACACGCCUUCUUCCAGUCCGUCCGUGGCCUGUCUUCUCAUUUGCUCACUAGCGUCUUUCACAGGGCGAAAGUUUCUGCUUUUGAAGUCAGGUUUAUCAACGUAUAUAUUUAUUAAUGAAUUGUGUUUUUGUACAAAAGUGUGCGUGGAAGAGCUCUGCACUGACUUUGGGGUCUCCCUUGUCAUCCGUCAGCCAGCCGUACAUGCCUGGGGCACCUCACGGUCUGGCUCAGUCUGUCUUCGUGGGAGGUAUUGACGUCUUCCCAUGUUGUUCUUCAGAAUUGUUUUGUCUACUCCGGUUCCUUUGCCUUUCCAGGUGUAUUUUAGAGUGAUCUCGGUGACGUGGACCAGUGUCCUCUUGGGGUGUUGAGUGGGCUUACACCGAACACAUGGAUCCGUUUGAGGGGAGUGGAGAGCAAUCUCGAAUCUUCCAGCUCGCGAACACAGAAAUGAUUUUAUAACGAGCAUCAGUAAUAGAAAAUAACCUUUACGAAGAAACUCCUUGCCGCCAGGACUCUAGGUGAACUGCUCUCCCCCUUUCCACGCGUGUCUAUGUGUAUCACACUUUCUGUGCACUCGUGAGUGGGGUGUGGACUCAGGUUUGCGCCCUCCCCCACCCUGCACGCCAGGCAGCACAGGCGUGGCUGUGGAAGGGGAUGGAGGGCCUGCUGUCGGCACCGUGUCCAGGCGCGCUUGGGGGCUCCGCCGUGUGGACCCGUGCGGACCCGGGAUCUGGCCAAAGCUGAAGGAAGGGCUGCCACCGUCGCUCCGGCUGGCGGAACGUCGCACGGUGCCGCUGUGCCAAGUGAAUGUCCAACGGUUAAAGCAUUUCUCAACGGAAGGUUUAAAGCUUUCAGAAAUUGCCGAAAAAUAAAAGGAAGGGUGAUUCCACAAAAUUUGGGGAGAUGAAGAAAGUACAGAAAAGGGGACACGCGUGUUGGGUUCCCCCGGCUUCAGAGCUCCGUUCCUUGUAGCACCGGAGUCACAGUCCACCGUCUGGAUGGCCCACGGCCUGUGUGUCCAUCACCAACUCCGAGCAUCCUGGUCACUUCCCAGUUUGCACAGCUGUGGGUAAAGCUGCCGGAAACAUCCGCGUGCAGGUGUCAGCUGGACCCACGUUUUCAUCUCCUGGGGGUGAAUGCCGAGGAGCACGUCCUCUGGAUUGAACGGCAAGAGCGUGGCUGGUUUUGGCGGAAACCACAGGCCCCCUCCCGGCGUGGCCGCACCAUUCCGCGUUCCCAGCAGCCCCGCAUCCCGCCAGCGUCUGGUGCUGGCUGUGUUCUGGUCUCCUCGCCGUCUUCCUCUGUGUGUCCCCGAGGACACACAAUGUGCGGCAUCUUCCCGCGUGCGUGCUCGCCGUGCGCCGAUGCUCCGUUUUGGGGUCUGUUUUCCUGUUGUUGAGAGGGUUUUUUGGUACAUUUUGGACACGAGUCCUUUAUCAGAUGUAUGUUUUGUGGAUUUUUCCUCCUAGUCUGUGGCCUGAGUUUUCAUUCUCUAAAUAUGAUUUGAUUCCUGCUUCUGGUUUUUAAAACUAGACUUUAUAUGAUCAUUUAUACGACCACUAAAUGUUACUGAAAACGCAAUUUCAUGGUGCAGAGCAUUCUGCUAUAUAGAUGUUUCUAAAUUGACUUAAGCAAUUUCUUGUUGUUACUUGGAUUACAAAAUUUUUUUUUAAGAUUUUAUUUAUUUAUUAGAGGGAGAGAGCACACAGCAGGGGGAGUAGUAGAGGGAGAGGGAGAAGCAGGCUCCCCGCUGAGCAGGGAGCCCCACGUGGGGCCCCUGAGAUCAUGACCUUGGCCGAAGGCAGAUGCUAACAGAGUGAGCCACUCAGGCGCUCCUGAUUAAAAAAUUUUUAAACGUUGGAAAGACCGUUCUAGUACCGAUAUCUCUUUGAUGCCUCUCAUUGCUUUGCUAGGAUGUACUUUAAGAAAUACAAUUAUGGGGCUUGGACAUACACAUUGACUUGUGAAGUCGGCUGUGCUGCAGAAAGGGUUUAUUCUUUCUCACGUUCACUCCGCAGAUACUUACGGAACCCCUGCCGCAGGCCCAGUGCUGUUUGGCUGCUGGGUCGUGAUGCUGCGCACAGGAGUUUUUGGCGGCGCCCGCCAGGGCGUGCGCCACACCUCUGCGCCCAGCUGCAUGAGGCUGCAGGCCCCGGUCUGCUCCGGUCGCUCCUGAGUUCUGUUCUUUCUGGGUCCCGUCAGUGUCUGAUCAGGCAACGUAGGAGAUCUGGGAAAGGUGUGUAAGUCAGGAUUUUACAGUCAGUAUAUAGGGGACAUGUUAUUUAAAAGGAUCCGCAGAUGAGUUUAAAUCUUUUUUUCACUCAAAAAACUAUAUUCUUUGACUAUAAUCCGAUAGAGUUACUUUAUUAUCAUUAGUAAAGAGGUAACCAGAAAAAAAGGAGGAAGCCAGCCUCCCUGUACGUUUGGAAACCUGUAACGAGCUUCUGCAUAAUUUAUCAAGGGAGACUGUUGUAGCCCAGAAUUAUGAGGCGUCUGAACUGAGCGACAGAGGCGGGACUGGUGCUUAGAGGGAAAAUGACCGCUUCGCUAGAAAGUCGAUGAGGGAUUCCUGAGCUGCGUGUCUCGUCUCCGGCGCCAAAGCACAUCACCACGGACUGGGCAGCCGCAAGCUGCAGGAACUGAUUGCCACGCAGCUCGGAGCCUGGGAGCCGAGGCCAAGGCUUCGGUGGGGCACUUCCUCCUGUGGGCUCUCGCGGCCUGUGUCCCAGCCUGUCGGCGCCCAUCCUUCACUUGCAAACAAAUCGCCCAGCCCCUGCCUCUGUCUUCGUGGUGAGGUCUGCCCCGCGGGCCGUGUGUCCAGGACUCGUGUUUACCUGACAGCAUCUGCAAAGGCCCCAUUUCCAAGUAGAGCUGCCCUCGGAACUUUGGAGGGAGCCCAUCGAACCCACUGUGUGUGUGGCCUGGGAACUCAGACAAAGCCAAUGUGUGCAGAGAAUAAUAAAGAUUGGGCAGAAGCUAACGAAACAAAAAAGAGGUCACAGAUAGUAGCGGAUGAUAAACGCAGAGGUGACUCUGGGGAUGAAUAAAGUAGGCAUCUGGGAGGGCGGCCUUGCAAAGAGAUG